rnacentral:rRNA from 1 species
CCUACGGGUGGCAGCAGUGGGGAAUAUUGCACAAUGGGGGGAACCCUGAUCCAGCGACGCCGCGUGAGUGAAGAAGUAUUUCGGUAUGUAAAGCUCUAUCAGCAGGGAAGAAAGUAAUGACGGUACCUGACUAAGAAGCCCCGGCUAACUACGCGCCAGCAGCCGUGGUAAUACGUAGGGGGCAAGCGUUCUCCGGAUCUACUGGGUGUAAAGGGCGUGUAGCCGGGCGGACAAGUCAGCUGUGAAAUCCGAGGGCUUAACCGCGGAACUGCAUUUGAAACUGUUGAUCUAGAGUGUAGGAGAGGUAAGCGGAAUUCCUAGUGUAGCGGUGAAAUGCGUAGAUAUUAGGAGGAACACCAGUGGCGAAGGCGGCCUGCUGGACGACAACUGACGGUGAGGCGCGAAAGCGUGGGGAGCAAACAGGAUUAGAUACCCCAGUAGUC